UUAAGCGACUAAGCGUACACGGUGGAUGCCCUGGCAGUCAGAGGCGAUGAAGGGCGUGCUAAUCUGCGAUAAGCGCCGGUAAGGUGAUAUGAACCGUUAUAACCGGCGAUACCCGAAUGGGGAAACCCAGUGUGAUUCGUCACACUAUCAUUAACUGAAUCCAUAGGUUAAUGAGGCGAACCGGGGGAACUGAAACAUCUAAGUACCCCGAGGAAAAGAAAUCAACCGAGAUUCCCCCAGUAGCGGCGAGCGAACGGGGAGGAGCCCAGAGCCUGAAUCAGCAUGUGUGUUAGUGGAAGCGUCUGGAAAGGCGCGCGAUACAGGGUGACAGCCCCGUACACAAAAGCGCAUGUGCUGUGAGCUCGAUGAGUAGGGCGGGACACGUGGUAUCCUGUCUGAAUAUGGGGGGACCAUCCUCCAAGGCUAAAUACUCCUGACUGACCGAUAGUGAACCAGUACCGUGAGGGAAAGGCGAAAAGAACCCCGGCGAGGGGAGUGAAAAAGAACCUGAAACCGUGUACGUACAAGCAGUGGGAGCACCCUUCGGGGUGUGACUGCGUACCUUUUGUAUAAUGGGUCAGCGACUUAUAUUCUGUAGCAAGGUUAACCGUAUAGGGGAGCCGUAGGGAAACCGAGUCUUAACCGGGCGUUAAGUUGCAGGGUAUAGACCCGAAACCCGGUGAUCUAGCCAUGGGCAGGUUGAAGGUUGGGUAACACUAACUGGAGGACCGAACCGACUAAUGUUGAAAAAUUAGCGGAUGACCUGUGGCUGGGGGUGAAAGGCCAAUCAAACCGGGAGAUAGCUGGUUCUCCCCGAAAGCUAUUUAGGUAGCGCCUCGUGAAUUCAUCUCCGGGGGUAGAGCACUGUUUCGGCUAGGGGGCCAUCCCGGCUUACCAACCCGAUGCAAACUGCGAAUACCGGAGAAUGUUAUCACGGGAGACACACGGCGGGUGCUAACGUCCGUCGUGAAGAGGGAAACAACCCAGACCGCCAGCUAAGGUCCCAAAGUCAUGGUUAAGUGGGAAACGAUGUGGGAAGGCCCAGACAGCCAGGAUGUUGGCUUAGAAGCAGCCAUCAUUUAAAGAAAGCGUAAUAGCUCACUGGUCGAGUCGGCCUGCGCGGAAGAUGUAACGGGGCUAAACCAUGCACCGAAGCUGCGGCAGCGAACGUAUCACCCAAGACAACUUUACGGAGUUGACGAUUGACGGAGCGAAGCGACGUCAAAGCGUUCAUUAAAGUCGAGUUGGCUUAGGGAUACGUUCGUUGGGUAGGGGAGCGUUCUGUAAGCCUGUGAAGGUGUGUCGUGAGGCAUGCUGGAGGUAUCAGAAGUGCGAAUGCUGACAUAAGUAACGAUAAAGCGGGUGAAAAGCCCGCUCGCCGGAAGACCAAGGGUUCCUGUCCAACGUUAAUCGGGGCAGGGUGAGUCGACCCCUAAGGCGAGGCCGAAAGGCGUAGUCGAUGGGAAACGGGUUAAUAUUCCCGUACUUGGUGUUACUGCGAAGGGGGGACGGAGAAGGCUAUGUUGGCCGGGCGACGGUUGUCCCGGUUUAAGCGUGUAGGUGUGUGUUCCAGGUAAAUCCGGUUCACUUUAACACUGAGGCGUGACGACGAGGCACUACGGUGCUGAAGCAACAAAUGCCCUGCUUCCAGGAAAAGCCUCUAAGCAUCAGGUAACACGAAAUCGUACCCCAAACCGACACAGGUGGUCAGGUAGAGAAUACCAAGGCGCUUGAGAGAACUCGGGUGAAGGAACUAGGCAAAAUGGUGCCGUAACUUCGGGAGAAGGCACGCUGACACGUAGGUGAAGUGAUUUACUCAUGGAGCUGAAGUCAGUCGAAGAUACCAGCUGGCUGCAACUGUUUAUUAAAAACACAGCACUGUGCAAACACGAAAGUGGACGUAUACGGUGUGACGCCUGCCCGGUGCCGGAAGGUUAAUUGAUGGGGUCAGCGCAAGCGAAGCUCCUGAUCGAAGCCCCGGUAAACGGCGGCCGUAACUAUAACGGUCCUAAGGUAGCGAAAUUCCUUGUCGGGUAAGUUCCGACCUGCACGAAUGGCGUAAUGAUGGCCAGGCUGUCUCCACCCGAGACUCAGUGAAAUUGAACUCGCUGUGAAGAUGCAGUGUACCCGCGGCAAGACGGAAAGACCCCGUGAACCUUUACUAUAGCUUGACACUGAACAUUGAGCCUUGAUGUGUAGGAUAGGUGGGAGGCUUUGAAGUGUGGACGCCAGUCUGCAUGGAGCCGACCUUGAAAUACCACCCUUUAAUGUUUGAUGUUCUAACGUGGACCCGUAAUCCGGGUUGCGGACAGUGUCUGGUGGGUAGUUUGACUGGGGCGGUCUCCUCCUAAAGAGUAACGGAGGAGCACGAAGGUUGGCUAAUCCUGGUCGGACAUCAGGAGGUUAGUGCAAUGGCAUAAGCCAGCUUGACUGCGAGCGUGACGGCGCGAGCAGGUGCGAAAGCAGGUCAUAGUGAUCCGGUGGUUCUGAAUGGAAGGGCCAUCGCUCAACGGAUAAAAGGUACUCCGGGGAUAACAGGCUGAUACCGCCCAAGAGUUCAUAUCGACGGCGGUGUUUGGCACCUCGAUGUCGGCUCAUCACAUCCUGGGGCUGAAGUAGGUCCCAAGGGUAUGGCUGUUCGCCAUUUAAAGUGGUACGCGAGCUGGGUUUAGAACGUCGUGAGACAGUUCGGUCCCUAUCUGCCGUGGGCGCUGGAGAACUGAGGGGGGCUGCUCCUAGUACGAGAGGACCGGAGUGGACGCAUCACUGGUGUUCGGGUUGUCAUGCCAAUGGCACUGCCCGGUAGCUAAAUGCGGAAGAGAUAAGUGCUGAAAGCAUCUAAGCACGAAACUUGCCCCGAGAUGAGUUCUCCCUGAGACUUAGAGUCUCCUGAAGGAACGUUGAAGACGACGACGUUGAUAGGCCGGGUGUGUAAGCGCAGCGAUGCGUUGAGCUAACCGGUACUAAUGAACCGUGAGGCUUAACCUU
rnacentral:rRNA from 1 species